rnacentral:lncRNA from 1 species
UAAUUAAAAAAGUGAAGAUCGAUCACCGGCGCCGCCACCGAUUUGCCGUCGCCUUCACGAGACCUCCAUUUCCGCCACUUUUGUCUCUUAUUAUAUAUAUGUAUUUCUUGGAAUUAGGGCUUUUUGCUUUGACUUACCUUCUUCUCUAAGGCCUAAAAGUAGAGAGAGAGAGAUGAGUGAGUUGUACACGCAAUAGUAAUAGAAAGCAAACAAAUCAAUCAAAUUUCUCUCUAUAAUUUCAAUUAUUCAUCUAAUAAUUCUCAAAUAUUGAUUCCUUUCAUUAUUGUAAUUAAUGCUUCUACAUUAGAAAAAUUACACCCCAUUCAAUGUAAUUAAAUGAGCCUUAAAAUAUGCUCUAAAUAAUAGUAAUGAUUAAAAUAUGUUAAUAUUUUAGAUUAAAUUCUUAUGCCAAAUAAACUUUUUUAUGUUGUGUUUAGAUACAAAAUUUAAAACUCAAUUCAAAUGUUAAUUAAUAACAUCAUUAAUGUGAAAUAGGAAGUUAUGAAUAAUAGUUGCAUAAAACUAUAUUGUUGUUGAUUGAUUUAAGUGUAACAUCAUGAUAAGUUUGAUGUUAUGCAUGUAGUUAUAACAACAUUUCCUAAUUUAGAAGUUUAUGAUUAAUUAUAAGAAUCCUUUGUCAUUUAGAGAUAUAGUUUGUGGACAUUCAAGUUGCUAUUAAUGGUUUUUGUUGAAUUAUUUACCAAAAAGUAAAAUGUAAUGUAAUAUUUGAAGGGGCAUUUGGAGAGGAAGUUGAUUAUUAAAAAAAUCAAUUUGUUUGGGGGUAUAAUAUAUAUAUAUAUAUAAUUAGGAAAUUAGGAAAUUAGGAAAUUAGGAAAUUAGUUGAGAUAUAAAGUAAAUGUUACGUUACCAAAAAACGGAGAGCCCAUUUGGGUUCACGGAGAAAAAGAUUCGUUGCAUUCUCAUAAUAAAUAAAC